rnacentral:misc_RNA from 1 species
UCCGGUUUAACACCGGCAGUCUCCGUAGAGUGCCCAACUGAAUGGUGGCAACUACGGACAAGGGUUGCGCUCGUUAAGGGACUUAACCCGACAUCUCACGAUACGAGCUGACGACAGCCAUGCAGCACCUAUACCGCCAGCCCCCGAAGGGGAAAUUCCAUCUCUGGAACUGUCUGACGUUGUCUAACCCAGGUAAGGUUCUUCGCGUUGCAUCGAAUUAAACCACAUGCUCCACCGCUUGUGCGGGCCCCCGUCAAUUCCUUUGAGUUUUAACCUUGCGGCCGUACUUCCCAGGCGGGGUACUUAAUGCGUUAGCGUCGACACUGCAGGGGUCAAUUCCCGCAACAUCUAGUACCCAUCGUUUACGGCGUAGACUAC